rnacentral:rRNA from 1 species
UACGGAGGAUGCGAGCGUUAUCCGGAUUUAUUGGGUUUAAAGGGUGCGUAGGCGGUCAUUUAAGCGUGAGGUGAAAAGCCCGGGCUCAACCUGGGUCGUGCCUCCCGAACUGGAUGGCUGGAAUGCGGAUGCCGUGGGAGGAAUGAGUAGUGUAGCGGUGAAAUGCAUAGAUAUUACUCAGAACACCGAUUGCGAAGGCAUCUCACGAAUCCGCUAUUGACGCUGAGGCACGAAAGCGUGGGGAUCGAAC